UCCCUGGUGGUCUAAUGAUUAGGACUCUGCGCUUCCACCGCAGGGAGCAAGGGUUCAAUUUCUGGUCGGGGAA
rfam:Ovis aries breed Texel chromosome 11, whole genome shotgun sequence.